CCUACGGGAGGCUGCAGUGGGGAAUAUUGCACAAUGGGGGAAACCCUGAUGCAGCGACGCCGCGUGAGUGAAGAAGUAAUUCGUUAUGUAAAGCUCUAUCAGCAGGGAAGAAAAUGCCGGUACCUGAGUAAGAAGCACCGGCUAACUACGUGCCAGCAGCCGCGGUAAUACGUCGGGGGCAAGCGUUAUCCGGAUUUACUGGGUGGAAAGGGAGCGUAGACGGCAGUGCAAGUCUGGAGGGAAAGGUGGGGGCUCAACCCCCGGACGUGUCUGGAAACUGUACGGCUGGAGUGCAGGAGAGGUAAGUGGAAUUCGUAGUGUAGCGGUGAAAUGCGUAGAUAUUAGGAGGAACACCAGUGGCGAAGGCGGCUUACUGGACUGUAACUGACGUUGAGGCUCGAAAGCGUGGGGAGCAAACAGGAUUAGAUACCCUAGUAGUC
rnacentral:rRNA from 1 species